rnacentral:rRNA from 1 species
GACGAACGCUGGCGGCGUGCUUAACACAUGCAAGUCGAACGGAAAGGCCCUGCUUUUGUGGGGUGCUCGAGUGGCGAACGGGUGAGUAACACGUGAGUAACCUGCCCUUGACUUUGGGAUAACUUCAGGAAACUGGGGCUAAUACCGGAUAGGAGCUCCUGCUGCAUGGUGGGGGUUGGAAAGUUUCGGCGGUUGGGGAUAGACUCGCGGCUUAUCAGCUUGUUGGUGGGGUAGUGGCUUACCAAGGCUUUGACGGGUAGCCGGCCUGAGAGGGUGACCGGCCAAAUUGGGAAUGAGAUACGGCCCAGACUCCUACGGGAGGCAGCAGUGGGGAAUAUUGCACAAUGGGCGGAAGCCUGAUGCAGCAACGCCGCGUGCGGGAUGACGGCCUUCGGGUUGUAAACCGCUUUCGCCUGUGACGAAGCGUGAGUGACGGUAAUGGGUAAAGAAGCACCGGCUAACUACGUG